GAUGAACGCUGGCGGCGUGCCUAACACAUGCAAGUCGAACGAAGCACCUUACCUGAUUCUUCGGAUGCAAGUUUGGUGACUGAGUGGCGGACGGGUGAGUAACGCGUGGGUAACCUGCCCUGUACAGGGGGAUAACAGCUGGAAACGGCUACUAAUACCGCAUAAGCGCACGAGGAGACAUAUCCUUGUGUGAAAAACUGCGGCGGUACAGGAUGGGGCCGCGUCUGGUUGGCUGGUUGGAAGGGUCACGGCCUACCAAGGCAACGAUCAGUGGCCGGGCUGGGAGGAGGAACGGCCAGAAUUGAACUGAGGCACGGUCCAAACUCCUACGGGAGGGAGCGGAAGGGAAUAUUGCACAAUGGGGGAAGACCUGAUGCAGCAACGCCGCGGGAGUGAAGAAGUAUUUCGGAAUGUAAAUCUCUAUGAGCAGGGAAGAGAAUGACGGUACCUGACAAAGAAGCACCGGCUAAAUACGUG
rnacentral:rRNA from 1 species